CCUACGGGUGGCUGCAGUGGGGAAUAUUGGGCAAUGGGCGAAAGCCUGACGCAGCGACGCCGCGUGGGUGACGAAGGCCUUCGGGUCGUAAAACCCUGUUGCAGGGGACGAAGGAAGUGACGGUACCUUACCAGCAAGCCCCGGCUAACUACGUGCCAGCAGCCGCGGUAAUACGUAGGUGGCAAGCGUUGUCCGGAAUUAUUGGGCGUAAAGGGCGUGUAGGCGGUUAGGUCAGUCGAAUGUGAAAUCCCACGGCUCAACCGUGGAACUGCGUUCGAUACUGUCUGACUUGAGUAUGUGAGAGGUGUGUGGAAUUCCUAGUGUAGCGGUGAAAUGCGUAGAUAUCGGGAAGAACACCAGUGGCGAAGGCGGCUUACUGGCCAGCAACUGACGCUGAGGCGCGAAAGCCAGGGGAGCGAACGGGAUUAGAUACCCUGGUA
rnacentral:rRNA from 1 species